rnacentral:lncRNA from 1 species
UGAGCAAAAGAUGAAGAAUGGGAAAAUGUUUAGGUUGAUCAGAAAACCAAGCACACCCACUUUCCAGAAACCUAGGCCAGAAACUCAGGGCUUGAUAAAGGUAAUCAGGCUAGCAUAGAACAGGCGCUAGAAUCAAACAUCUGGUCACUCAAGGAUCAGCCAACAGCUAACUGCUUAAUGUUAGCUGCUGUUACUGUGGUUGUUAGUAUUGUUACUCAUGUUGUC